GCGGCGACGGAAAGUUUCCCCGGGGCGGGGCGAGGCGGGCUCCACUCCCUCUCCGCCGAAACGACCGGCUCCGGGAAAGAAGGGAGGAGGGAGGGAAGGACGGAGGGAGGCGGCCAGCCAGGCUGCCGCUCUAUGGCCGUGCACAUAAACUGCAGCUUCAGUUCCACUGGAGUAAGUUGUAUUGGAGGAGUUUCUGGGAAUGAGUAAGAGAACGUCUGGGCUUCAUGUUCUACAAUGAGAGUAUGAAUAUGUUAAAAGAAGACAAAUGAAAAAUCUACCCUUUCAUGUAAAGUGGAAUAAAAAGCAAGCUUGAGAUGUGUUCCUGUCUUCAUUUUUAGCACACCCAAGUCAAGAGGAAAACUCCAAGGCAAGAAGCAUGCUGACAUUUCAAUAUUCCUUCAGCUCAACAGUUCAGAGUACAGUCACAUCAAGAAAAGCAACACGUGUAAUCAUGAAUAGCUGGAGAUUCAUUUCACUAGAUUUUCCAAGAAUUUAAUUUUAAAUUGAAAGACCAUUGAACUCUCACUGAUCAGGAAUUGAACACUGUAGAGAUCCUUUAAACAACUUCUCACAUUUAGACAGCAUCGGGAGGAGGGGAAUUCACAGUAGAUAUAAAAGAUUUUUUUUCUGUGAAGCAGUUCCUGAAUUGAUAAAGUUAUCCUGAGAUAUGCAUUUAGGGAAUUUUAUCCAUAAAGACAAUUUAGUUAGUCAGUGGGAACAACCAGAAAGAGUGUAGAAAGCACAGAUAAAUGUGUCUGGAAUUCUUUUUCCCCUACUAAUUCCUGGAUACUACUUCCUGUCCUUGGAAAUGAGAAAAACACAUGUAAAUUGGAGCGAGGCUUUUUUUAGGAGAAGAGGAUCAGCUCUUGCCUUCUCUCAUAGUGUAAAACCCCAGGAAAUUCUGCCCAGGUUUUUCUCUGCCCUUCAUGCUUUCCUAAAGCUUUUUGUUCAGCAGCCCCUUGAAGAAUGUGGCACUUCCUUUGAGCUAAUGAAAUUGCAACAAGCAGCUGUAAGAUUUGGACUGAAUGAGCUGUUUCUCUGUGAGGAAAGGCUGCAGUUUCUUUCUGGGCAAAGGCAUAAACACUGUGAAGAAUAAACAGUUUGAGUAGCUGUAGUCUGAGGAAGGCAGAGGUUUGGGGUAGGCUUGAAGAGUUGCAUUGGAGAAGAGUAGGAGAGACAUAAAAUCCUAGAGAAAAUAAGAUGUGAGGGAAGUCUAAAAAUGUUUGAAAAUGAUGCCUUAGGGAAAAUCUGAGUUGCUUCAGUUUUCAGCUGAGUACUGUUGUGUCCAGAUCUCACUCAGAAACCGGCUAGUGCAAAGCUCUGAUUCAAGGUGUGAGUUUGCUGUGAGAAAUUUUCCAUCCGUAUCAGGAUUUUGCCAACAGCAUCUUGUAAAAAUGUUGCUUCAUCAGUCCAGACCUCGCUGGGAGCUGCAGACAUUUGGCAGAUGUUUGAGUUCCACUUCACUGUAUCACAGAAUGGUUGGAAGGUAUCUCUGAAACCAUCU